UGCAGUCGAGCGAAUGGAUUAAGAGCUUGCUCUUAUGAAGUUAGCGGCGGACGGGUGAGUAACACGUGGGUAACCUGCCCAUAAGACUGGGAUAACUCCGGGAAACCGGGGCUAAUACCGGAUAACAUUUUGAACCGCAUGGUUCGAAAUUGAAAGGCGGCUUCGGCUGUCACUUAUGGAUGGACCCGCGUCGCAUUAGCUAGUUGGUGAGGUAACGGCUCACCAAGGCAACGAUGCGUAGCCGACCUGAGAGGGUGAUCGGCCACACUGGGACUGAGACACGGCCCAGACUCCUACGGGAGGCAGCAGUAGGGAAUCUUCCGCAAUGGACGAAAGUCUGACGGAGCAACGCCGCGUGAGUGAUGAAGGCUUUCGGGUCGUAAAACUCUGUUGUUAGGGAAGAACAAGUGCUAGUUGAAUAAGCUGGCACCUUGACGGUACCUAACCAGAAAGCCACGGCUAACUACGUGCCAGCAGCCGCGGUAAUACGUAGGUGGCAAGCGUUAUCCGGAAUUAUUGGGCGUAAAGCGCGCGCAGGUGGUUUCUUAAGUCUGAUGUGAAAGCCCACGGCUCAACCGUGGAGGGUCAUUGGAAACUGGGAGACUUGAGUGCAGAAGAGGAAAGUGGAAUUCCAUGUGUAGCGGUGAAAUGCGUAGAGAUAUGGAGGAACACCAGUGGCGAAGGCGACUUUCUGGUCUGU
rnacentral:rRNA from 1 species